AUGCUCUCUUCAGCAGCACAUAUAGUAAAACUGGAAUAAUAUACAAAGAAGAUUAGCGUGGCCCCUGUGCAAAUUCAUGAGGCAUUCCACAUUUUU
rnacentral:snRNA from 1 species